GGUAGCUCAGUGGAUUGAGAGCCAGUCCUAGAGACGGGAGAUCCUAGGUUCAAAUCUGGCCUCAGACACUUCCCAGCUGUGUGACCCUGGGCAAGUCACUUGACCCCCAUUGCCUAGCCCUUACCACUCUUCUGCCUUGGAGCCAAUUACACAGGUAAGGGUUAAAAAAAAAAAACAACAACAACUAUAAAUUCACAACCUGGGGAUGGGGGAGCAGCAUCUCAUUCUGUAUCACAAGACCUCAGCCACUAAAACCGUAAGGAAAAGAAGUUUUUAUAUUCCUCCAUUUGCGUGUAACCUGAUUUUAAAACCUACCUGACAGAUUCUGCUUGCCUGACUUCAUUGAUUCAUUAACAAAAGUUAUUAAAUACUUUGCUUUACAAAGUUCUGGUCAGCAGUGCAGGGCAAUAAGCAUUUUAAAUUAGGAGAAGAAGCAUUUUAAUAAGUGAAAUAAAAAACAUUUAUUAAAUACUAGGUGCCAGGCACUGUGCUCAUUUCUUUACAAAUGUUAUCUUAUUUGAUUCUCACAACCCCAUGAGAUAGAUGCUAUUAUCAUCUCCAUUUUACAGUUGAGAAGACUGAGUCAGACAGAAGUUAAAUAAUUUACCCUGAGGUGGGGGUGGGGGGCGGCACACAGAUAAGAAAUGUCUAAAGCUAGAUUUGAACUUGGGAAAAUGAGUCUUCCUGACUUCAGACCUGGUACUCUUAUCUGCAGUACUAGCUAGUGCCCCGCCCCCAUAUAUACAUAAGGAAGAUGAACCAGUCAGGGCUAUGAAAAGUGGGUUGGGAUUGAGCAAGAGAUUACAGGAUCGCAGACCUAUUGUUUAUAAAAGGGAUCUCAAAGGCCAUCUUGUCCAUUCCUUCAUUUUACAGAAGGAACUGAGACCCAAAGGAGUUGAAGAACUUCCUCAAGACAAAGCAGUUAGAAAGUAUCAGAAACAGGAUUCAAGAUAAAGUUCUCCGAUGCCAGACACAGUUGCUAUGUUCUUUGGACUUUGGACUGUUACAUUCUCUCCUUGGAAAUGGAGCAGACUAUUCAGGCACUUAUUUUAAUAAUCAGAAGAUGAGGUAAUGAUUUAAAUUUCACCCAAGUAAGCCAAGUGACAAAAUGACAAGGAGCUUGCAUUGCAUAGUAAGCAAAGAGAUUGAUGUGUGUGUUAGUGGCAUGAGUCAAGAAGACCAGCAUUCGAAUUCUGUCUCUAACACUUAUUAGACUUUUGAUUACUGAUGAGUCCCUUAAACCUCAAGGUUUCAUUUUUCUCAUCUGUCCAAUGGGAAUAACAAUGCUGAAAAAUGAUUCUUACCUCCUCAAGUUGUCAUGAGGCGUGCUUUUCAAACUACAUUUUUGGUUUUAUUUUCAAAAUGCUAUAUACAUGACAGCUUCUAUUAUUAUUGGCAGAUUUAAUACCCUGAACUUCUGACCUCUCUCUUUGGCUUCUGUUAGGUUUGUUUGGCUCCUGUACAAAAGUAGCAACCAUGGUAUUAUCUGAUCACCAGAAGUCCUUUCAACUCAAGAUUCUGUGGGAAAAAAUUAUAGGCCUGUGAGAGUCAACAUCAUGGGUUGAUAUGGUCUGUAAGCAUCUUCAGAAAACGGAGCUAAAACAAAUAGUACUAACUUCAAAGAUCAGCAAAUAACACCCAGAAAAAUGGAAGCCUGAUUUCUUCACUUGCUAUUACAAUCUUUCUAUCUGUCUGUAAAAACUGAUAAGAAUAAAUUCCAUCAAGGUAUGCUAA